rnacentral:rRNA from 1 species
AACGUAGGACGCAAGCGUUAUCCGGAGUUACUGGGCGUAAAGCGCGUGUAGGCGGCCCGGUAAGUCCGCUGUGAAAGUCCAGGGCUCAACCCUGGGAUGCCGGUGGAUACUGUCGGGCUCGAGUCCGGAAGAGGCGAGUGGAAUUCCUGGUGUAGCGGUGAAAUGCGCAGAUAUCAGGAGGAACACCAAUGGCGAAGGCAGCUCGCUGGGACGUGACUGACGCUGAGACGCGAAAGCGUGGGGAGCGAACAGG